ACGGGAGGCAGCAGUGGGGAAUAUUGCGCAAUGGGGGAAACCCUGACGCAGCGACGCCGCGUGAGUGAAGAAGUAUUUCGGUAUGUAAAGCUCUAUCUGCAGGGAAGAUGAUGACGGUACCUGACUAAGAAGCCCCGGCUAACUACGUGCCAGCAGCCGCGGUAAUACGUAGGGGGCAAGCGUUAUCCGGAUUUACUGGGUGUAAAGGGAGCGUAGACGGCUGUGCAAGUCUGAAGUGAAAUCCGCGGGCUCAACCCGCGAACUGCUUUGGAAACUGUAUAGCUGGAGUGCAGGAGAGGUAAGUGGAAUUCCUAGUGUAGCGGUGAAAUGCGUAGAUAUUAGGAGGAACACCAGUGGCGAAGGCGGCUUACUGGACGAUAACUGACGUUGAGGCUCGAAAGCGUGGGGAGCAAACAGGAUUAGAUACCCUGGUA
rnacentral:rRNA from 1 species